rnacentral:rRNA from 1 species
AUUGAACGCUGGCGGCAGGCCUAACACAUGCAAGUCGAGCGGAUGAAGGGAGCUUGCUCCUGGAUUCAGCGGCGGACGGGUGAGUAAUGCCUAGGAAUCUGCCUGGUAGUGGGGGAUAACGUCCGGAAACGGGCGCUAAUACCGCAUACGUCCUGAGGGAGGAAGUGGGGGAUCUUCGGACCUCACGCUAUCAGAUGAGCCUAGGUCGGAUUAGCUAGUUGGUGGGGUAAAGGCCUACCAAGGCGACGAUCCGUAACUGGUCUGAGAGGAUGAUCAGUCACACUGGAACUGAGACACGGUCCAGACUCCUACGGGAGGCAGCAGUGGGGAAUAUUGGACAAUGGGCGAAAGCCUGAUCCAGCCAUGCCGCGUGUGUGAAGAAGGUCUUCGGAUUGUAAAGCACUUUAGGUUGGGAGGAAGGGCAGUAAGUUAAUACCUUGCUGUUUUGACGUUACCAACAGAAUAAGCACCGGCUAACUUCGUG